rnacentral:rRNA from 2 species
GAUAAGUGCUGAAAGCAUCUAAGCACGAAACUUGCCCCGAGAUGAGUUCUCCCUGACUCCUUGAGAGUCCUGAAGGAACGUUGAAGACGACGACGUUGAUAGGCCGGGUGUGUAAGCGCAGCGAUGCGUUGAGCUAACCGGUACUAAUGAACCGUGAGGCUUAACCUUACAACGCCGAAGGUGUUU